rnacentral:rRNA from 1 species
UACGGAGGGGGCUAGCGUUGUUCGGAAUUACUGGGCGUAAAGCGCACAUAGGCGGCUUUGUAAGUUAGAGGUGAAAGCCCGGGGCUCAACUCCGGAAUUGCCUUUAAGACUGCAUCGCUAGAAUUGUGGAGAGGUAAGUGGAAUUCCGAGUGUAGAGGUGAGAUUCGUAGAUAUUCGGAAGAACACCAGUGGCGAAGGCGACUUACUGGACUCAUAUUGACGCUGAGGUGCGAAAGCGUGGGGAGCAAACAGG